rnacentral:rRNA from 1 species
AGCGGCGGACGGGUGAGUAACACGUGGGUAACCUGCCCAAGAGACUGGGAUAACACCUGGAAACAGAUGCUAAUACCGGAUAACAACACUAGACGCAUGUCUAGAGUUUGAAAGAUGGUUCUGCUAUCACUCCUGGAUGGACCUGCGGUGCAUUAGCUAGUUGGUAAGGUAACGGCUUACCAAGGCAAUGAUGCAUAGCCGAGUUGAGAGACUGAUCGGCCACAUUGGGACUGAGACACGGCCCAAACUCCUACGGGAGGCAGCAGUAGGGAAUCUUCCACAAUGGACGAAAGUCUGAUGGAGCAACGCCGCGUGAGUGAAGAAGGGUUUCGGCUCGUAAAGCUCUGUUGGUAGUGAAGAAAGAUAGAGGUAGUAACUGGCCUUUAUUUGGCGGUAAUUACUUAGAAAGUCACGGCUAACUACGUGCCAGCAGCCGCGGUAAUACGUAGGUGGCAAGCGUUGUCCGGAUUUAUUGGGCGUAAAGCGAGUGCAGGCGGUUCAAUAAGUCUGAUGUGAAAGCCUUCGGCUCAACCGGAGAAUUGCAUCAGAAACUGUUGAACUUGAGUGCAGAAGAGGAGAGUGGAACUCCAUGUGUAGCGGUGGAAUGCGUAGAUAUAUGGAAGAACACCAGUGGCGAAAGGCGGCUCUCUGGUCUGCAACUGACGCUGAGGCUCGAAAGCAUGGGUAGCGAACAGGAUUAGAUACCCUGGUAGUCCAUGCCGUAAACGAUGAGUGCUAAGUGU